UGCAUGUAUAACUGUAAGUCACUUUGGAUAAAAGCAUCUGCUAAAUUGCUUAUA
rfam:Salmo salar isolate Sally breed double haploid chromosome ssa14, whole genome shotgun sequence.